AGAUUGAACGCUGGCGGCAUGCCUAACACAUGCAAGUCGAACGGGAGUAGCAAUACUCUAGUGGCGGACGGGUGAGGAAUACGUAGGAAUUUGCCCUUAAGUGGGGGAUAACCCGGGGAAACCCGGAUUAAUACCGCAUGACCUCGAAAGAGCAAAGUGGGGGAUCGCAAGACCUCACGCUUUUGGAGAAGCCUACGUCGGAUUAGCUAGUUGGUGAGGUAAUGGCUCACCAAGGCGACGAUCCGUAACUGGUCUGAGAGGAUGAUCAGUCACACCGGAACUGAGACACGGUCCGGACUCCUACGGGAGCAGCAGUGGGGAAU
rnacentral:rRNA from 1 species